CAGUCGCCACGGUAAAACGAAGGGUGCAAGCGUUACUCGGAAUUACUGGGCGUAAAGCGUGCGUAGGUGGUCGUUUAAGUCUGUUGUGAAAGCCCUGGGCUCAACCUGGGAACUGCAGUGGAAACUGGACGACUAGAGUGUGGUAGAGGGUAGCGGAAUUCCUGGUGUAGCAGUGAAAUGCGUAGAGAUCAGGAGGAACAUCCAUGGCGAAGGCAGCUACCUGUACCAACACUGACACUGAGGCACGAAAGCGUGGGGAGCAAACAGGAUUAGAUACCCCCGUAGUCCCUGUCUCUUAUAC
rnacentral:rRNA from 1 species